rnacentral:rRNA from 1 species
AUAAUGGGUCAGCGACUUAUAUUCUGUAGCAAGGUUAACCGAAUAGGGGAGCCGAAGGGAAACCGAGUCUUAACUGGGCGUUAAGUUGCAGGGUAUAGACCCGAAACCCGGUGAUCUAGCCAUGGGCAGGUUGAAGGUUGGGUAACACUAACUGGAGGACCGAACCGACUAAUGUUGAAAAAUUAGCGGAUGACUUGUGGCUGGGGGUGAAAGGCCAAUCAAACCGGGAGAUAGCUGGUUCUCCCCGAAAGCUAUUUAGGUAGCGCCUCGUGAAUUCAUCUCCGGGGGUAGAGCACUGUUUCGGCAAGGGGGUCAUCCCGACUUACCAACCCGAUGCAAACUGCGAAUACCGGAGAAUGUUAUCACGGGAGACACACGGCGGGUGCUAACGUCCGUCGUGAAGAGGGAAACAACCCAGACCGCCAGCUAAGGUCCCAAAGUCAUGGUUAAGUGGGAAACGAUGUGGGAAGGCCCAGACAGCCAGGAUGUUGGCUUAGAAGCAGCCAUCAUUUAAAGAAAGCGUAAUAGCUCACUGGUCGAGUCGGCCUGCGCGGAAGAUGUAACGGGGCUAAACCAUGCACCGAAGCUGCGGCA